CUACAAGAGCUCAUAUCGCAAGUGCAUCAGUCGACGCAGCACGUGAGCGAGCUGCAGCAACGAGUCGAUGUGUCUCACUACGUUGGACACCAACAACGAGAGCAGGCGCUCAGAAUCAGAGAGCAACAGCUACAAGGUCUCGAAGAAAGGCUUCUAAGGCAGCAGUCGGAGUGUGAGCAGGAGCGUAGCAGGCUUCACAAUCUCGUGGCCAAGAUGGAGAGUCACAUGAGAGAGCAAACCCAUCAGAUCGAACAGGAUCGAUGGAAAAUUCAGCAGGACGAGUCUCGGUUACAAGCCCUGCAGAGAGCAUUAGAACACGACCGAGUGACAACAGCCGAACACAUCACACAAGAGAGACAAGAACUAC